CUGUGGCCUGUCACAUCUUCAGGUUGGGACGCACAUGGCCCCUCAUUCACACCUUCCCAGCCGGUGAAGGGAUCCACAUUCAGAGUGCUGCUACAAAGGGCAGUUGACAUUGGUAAAAAACAAAAAACAAAAACAAAAACAAAAAAACUUAUCAGGUUAGGGGGUUAGGAAGGCUGAGUUCGCAUGGCCCUGGCCACCUCUGAAAAAAUAGAGCCCUCCGGCCAUCAGGCGACAGCCAAAGUGUAGUGAACAGUAUACAAACCUGCUUCGGUAAGCUUUCUGUUACUUACUUUAUGAUAGGUAUUUUAUCUUAUUUCAGGAUUAUUCCAGAAUAAUGCAAUUUCAUGGCACAUUAAAAAAACCCGAGGAUUCUUAGAGAAUGACCACUGAUAUUCAGCUGUUCAUACUCCAUCCUCGGCACAAUGCACCAUUAUCCACAGGGGCUUAUGCUGCCCCUGCCUCCCCGGGGAGUGCUGGAGCCUGGACACCUAACGGGAUUCCGAAGUCUAACAACAGAUGCUCAUCUUGAAUCUUUAAGGACGGAAGUCCCAGGCCAGGGAGGAGGUGGAGAGGGACUGCAUCUCUCUCUCCCCAGAACCAGGAGUACAUCCUUUUCGCAGCACUCCCCGACCUCUCUUCCCCUGAUGCAGCCAGGGAAGGAUGGCCUUCUCACAUGCCUCGUCCGAGAAAAGGUGAGUAGAGGAAGCCCUAAAUCUACGCAUGUGGAUGAGACCCAGCCCCUGGUCAAUGGCCUGGCUCCCAUUUCUAGAAUGCCCAGGCAUGAGAAUGCCAACACAAGCCAAAAUUCCUUCCACGAACAGAGAUGUGUAGACAGGCUUCCCCCUCCCGGCCACGCUGCACCUCACCUUGCGGCAUCUCCUGGGAGCCCAGGGGUGCUGGGGUGGCUUGGACCACGGCUCUGCCUCUCUCUAAAGUUCCCUCACCUAUUUGUUCUCCAACAACUGCCAAGGCUCGUGAGACCCGGAAGCAGGUGGGGUGAGGGGUGGGGAGCAGAGAAAGCAGACACAUGCAUCUGAGAUCUUUCCAUCCGUGAGGGAAGGGACCGAUGAGGCAGGCCAUCAUUGCUGAGCCAGUAGGCUUCCCCCCCACAGCCAUCCGGAUCCCCCCAUGACCGUGUCUCUGGGUCUACAGUGUUACCCUCCAGCCUGACACCCAGGUCAAAAGUCUGAGCCCCCUUGUCUCUCCCUCACAAAACCCAAUCCAUUCUCCCUGAGCUCGCCCUGUGAGCCC
ensembl:lncRNA